rnacentral:hammerhead_ribozyme from 1 species
AUCUAGCUGACGAGUCCUAAAUGGGACGAAAUACGUGUUAUUCAU